UCCUGGCUCAGGAUGAACGCUAGCGGCGCGCUUAAUGCAUGCAAGUCGAGCGAUGAGGCUCCUUCGGGGGUACAUCAGCGGCAGACGGGUGAGUAACACGUAGGUGACCUACCCUCGAGACGGGGAUAACGGCUGGAAACAGUCGCUAAUACCCGAUAGACUUACCAGGUCAAAGCGGUAAGAAAAGCUACGGUGCUUGAGGAGGGGCCUGCGGCCCAUCAGCUAGUUGGUAGGGUAACGGCCUACCAAGGCGAAGACGGGUAGGGGGUGUGAGAGCACGAGCCCCCACAAUGGGACUGCGACACGGCCCAUACUCCUACGGGAGGCAGCAGCAGGGAAUAUUGCACAAUGGACGGAAGUCUGAUGCAGCGACGCCGCGUGAGUGAAGACGGCCUUCGGGUUGUAAAGCUCUUUUACGGGGGACGAGGAAGGACGGUACCCUGGGAAGAAGUGUCGGCUAACUACGUGCCAGCAGCCGCGGUAAGACGUAGGACACAAGCGUUAUCCGGAGUUACUGGGCGUAAAGCGCCUGCAGGCGGCCUGGUAAGUUGGACGUGAAAGCCCCGUGCUUAACGCGGGGAGGUCGGACAAUACUGCCAAGCUAGAGUGCGUCAGAGGGGAGUGGAAUUUCCGGAGUAGCGGUAAAAUGCGCAGAUAUCGGAAGGAACACCAGUGGCGAAAGCGACUCCCUGGGGUGCGACUGACGCUAAGAGGCGAAAGCUAGGGGAGCGAACAGGAUUAGAGACCCUGGUAGUCCUAGCCCUAAACGAUGGAUGCUAGGUGUGGGACGUAAAGUUCCGUGCCGGAGCCAACGCGAUAAGCAUCCCGNCUGGGGACUACGGUCGCAAGGCUAAAACUCAAACGAAUUGACGGGGACCCG
rnacentral:rRNA from 1 species